CCCGUCUUGCCGCGUCCUUCCCGGGAAAAGAGAGCGCUUUCGCAGAGCAGGGUCCGGCUCCUGUGUGGCCAAGCGCCUUCCGUCCGCGCGGAGGACGCGGGGCUCCGGGCCUCCUGCCAGACGGGGCCAGCGCUUGCACGUGAAUGGGGGAAAAGAUGCUAAAAAAGAAAUGUACUAAUGGUCUUUAGAGUUGUUAAUAAUUGGAGAAGCUAAAGAGCUAAGAAAAGAGUGUGGCCAGAGAAGACCUAUGGAAGGAAGUCUUACUUCACUGAUGGACGGUAUUUCUAUCAGAGUACAGAGCAACCUGAGCCAAAUCAUUUGAGGAUGUUUUCCCCUCUGUAUUGGAAGGUUUGUAGAAAAGUGUGUUUGCGCAGAACGGCCGUGUUUGAACAAUCUGCUGAUCUGGAAGGCAACAACAACAGGAGAGAAGAUACUGCUAGUCCGACCCUUUAUCUUGGCUGUGAAUUUUGCUAGGCAGGUUUCCUCAUAUCUUUGUGAUGAUCAGCUAUCAAAAAUACGCUGUUAUCUAAUCUUGCCUAUUAUUGGAUGGGUAGAAUGGAUAGAAUAGAGAGAAGAAAUAAGGCUUCAUUCAGAGAGAACAAUUGUCCACUCUGUGGUGCUGUAUCAGGCCACACUUCUCAGAAGAUUGGCUUUUUGCGGGGGGGACAAAGUUUGUUGCAAGGAUAAAGAAGCCUUAUACUUAAAAAUUUUAUUCAGGUGCAGAUUCUAUUAGAA